GACGAACGCUGGCGGCGUGCCUAAUACAUGCAAGUAGAACGCUGAAGAGAGGAGCUUGCUCUUCUUGGAUGAGUUGCGAACGGGUGAGUAACGCGUAGGUAACCUGCCUGGUAGCGGGGGAUAACUAUUGGAAACGAUAGCUAAUACCGCAUAAAAUUGAUUAUUGCAUGAUAAUUAAUUGAAAGAUGCAACUGCAUCACUACCAGAUGGACCUGCGUUGUAUUAGCUAGUUGGUGAGGUAACGGCUCACCAAGGCGACGAUACAUAGCCGACCUGAGAGGGUGAUCGGCCACACUGGGACUGAGACACGGCCCAGACUCCUACGGGAGGCAGCAGUAGGGAAGCUUCGGCAAUGGGGGGAACCCUGACCGAGCAACGCCGCGUGAGUGAAGAAGGUUUUCGGAUCGUAAAGCUCUGUUGUAAGAGAAGAACGGGUGUGAGAGUGGAAAGUUCACACUGUGACGGUAUCUUACCAGAAAGGGACGGCUAACUACGUG
rnacentral:rRNA from 1 species